rnacentral:rRNA from 1 species
GACGAACGCUGGCGGCGUGCCUAAUACAUGCAAGUUGAGCGCUGAAGGUUGGUACUUGUACCGACUGGAUGAGCAGCGAACGGGUGAGUAACGCGUGGGGAAUCUGCCUUUGAGCGGGGGACAACAUUUGGAAACGAAUGCUAAUACCGCAUAAAAACUUUAAACACAAGUUUUAAGUUUGAAAGAUGCAAUUGCAUCACUCAAAGAUGAUCCCGCGUUGUAUUAGCUAGUUGGUGAGGUAAAGGCUCACCAAGGCGAUGAUACAUAGCCGACCUGAGAGGGUGAUCGGCCACAGUGGGACUGAGACACGGCCCAAACUCCUACGGGAGGCAGCAGUAGGGAAUCGUCGGCAAUGGACGAAAGUCUGACCGAGCAACGCCGCGUGAGUGAAGAAGGUUUUCGGAUCGUAAAACUCUGUUGGUAGAGAAGAACGUUGGUGAGAGUGGAAAGCUCAUCAAGUGACGGUAACUACCCAGAAAGGGACGGCUAACUACGUG